ACGCUGUAAAAGUCUGUUUACAAGUUUGCGGUCGUCUGAACUAACAUAUGAAUUUUUCUCGACCUUUUUGCAAUAUUCUCUAUUUCUAGUCAUGAGCAAAGAUGAAACAAAUCAGGAUCAGAUGAUCUACAGUGACAAAGCCAGUUCAGCACACAAGGAAAAAGAUGAAAAAGCUUUCAAAUUUAAAGCCGCGGCUUUCCUUGCCGGCGUGACUGGUGUCUCGAUCCUUUUUGGAUUUGGCACUACUCUCGCCGCGGCCAAGAAGAAGGAUCCCCAUUUUUUCGAUCAAGGCCUGACUGGACGCAUCGAAAAACCAACGACGGAGCCAAUUUCCAGUGAAGCGGCCACGGCAGUGAGAAGACGUGUCCCAGUAUCGAUUUCUUCUGUGGAGCCGGGUGCAUCUUUAGCUAUUCGAGCUCUUGGCUGGGGCACUCUUUAUGCAGUGACCGGAUGUUCUGUACUAUUCUACGGCAUCUGGAAACUUAUGGCUGUUAAUGAUUUGAAAGAGUUUCGACUGAAAGUUGGUACUUGGCUUCCGGCUGUCCCACGGAACAAUCCUCCUCAGGGUCGUACAGAAUUCUCUGGUCUCAACGAUUUAUUGCAGUACAUUAUCGACGUUGACAAGGAGAAGAAAGAGGCGUCCAACAGAAAUGAUACCAAGGGAUGCCAUAACCACUGGCAUUGGGAGCUUCGUAUACGAUGGGCAGUUACGAGUAUUAAUACGCAAGUACGGCAUUCAAUCGAUCCAACACGGACUGAACGCCAGUCGUGGACAUUGCGAGUUGAAGGUUCAAUGUCUCGUCUGGGGGACGUUCCGUCGACGCCAACGACAUGGAAAAAACUCGAAAAACUUUUUCAUAAACUGCAACCCAAUUUCAUCGACCAUCAAAGCUGAAGAAAGGCUCAAAUAGCGAUGAAUAAAGGGGGGCAGUUUGGGAAUUGACAUCAACACGCCAGAUAUUCGGCUGGAGAAAUGCCAAACUUGCGGCACGCAAAAAAGCAAUUGAAAAAAGGGCCAAAGAGCAACGAAGAUAUGACAAGAAAAAACUCACUUAAAAAACGGAUUGAAAGGCCAACAGUUAUUCCUGCCUACUACUGGAAAAUGGAAUUCCCCGCUCUAUUUUAAAAUAGAGAGGCGGGAGUUUGGAUGCCGCCAAAAGAUGCUGAAAAUAAUUUGAAAAGGAAGACGAUACGGAAAUGAAAAGAGAUUGGCUCGUUGUUAGGAACCGAGACAGUCUCUGAUCUAUCAAUCGACUUGCCAUAGACGACGACUGAGACGAAAAAUUAAAAAUGAAUUUUGUUUUAUACAUUCAGGUUUUAUUUGCACAGAAUGGAAUUGCAAACUGAAGGGAAAGUAACUGUCAACACAAAAAUUACUUGCGUACUUUUAUCUCUCGAGUCUUGAAAGUCAAUUUAGUUCGAUUCUCUUUUCCUCCAUUUGGCCGUCGAGUGCUGCCCAAGUUAUUCAACUCCUUCCCUUUGACAAACACUUUCCUUCGUCCCGUCUUCCUUGGAGGAGAGACUCGAUCGAAAACUUGUCGUUUCUGUUUGCGAUUGUCAAGAGUUUGCUGGCCCGUUUUCAGUUGCGGAAGUAAAUGGAAAUGCAAUCCGAUUUGGAAACAGUGGGGGGGAUUGAACCGCGUAAUUGCUUUUCAUUCACAAUGGCGAUCAAUCAGAAACGGUCGUACAUGUUGUAUGUUAUACACCUGGAUGUUAUUUAAAAGAGCUGCUGUUGGCGUCACGACAUCCAUAAUUACAUCGGCACAAAAGACGGCGACGACCAGAUGGCGUGUGAACGGAGACGGCCCAUUCCAGGUAUCUGGCAACUUUUCCUUCUUAACCGGCACAUGAAGACAAGGAAAGAUGGCAGUGGAUUCCAGCGAGAAGUCGCCCGAGUCUUUUUUCUCUUUCUUAGAAAAGAGAAUUUGAAUGUUCA